rnacentral:rRNA from 1 species
AGUUAGAAAUGGCUGCUAAUACCGCAUAAGACCACAGCACCGCAUGGUGCAGGGGUAAAAACUCCGGUGGUAUGAGAUGGACCCGCGUCUGAUUAGCUGGUUGGUGGGGUAACGGCCUACCAAGGCGACGAUCAGUAGCCGACCUGAGAGGGUGACCGGCCACAUUGGGACUGAGACACGGCCCAAACUCCUACGGGAGGCAGCAGUGGGGAAUAUUGCACAAUGGGGGAAACCCUGAUGCAGCGACGCCGCGUGAAGGAUGAAGUAUUUCGGUAUGUAAACUUCUAUCAGCAGGGAAGAAAAUGACGGUACCUGACUAAGAAGCCCCGGCUAACUACGUGCCAGCAGCCGCGGUAAUACGUAGGGGGCAAGCGUUAUCCGGAUUUACUGGGUGUAAAGGGAGCGUAGACGGUAUGGCAAGUCUGAUGUGAAAGGCCAGGGCUCAACCCUGGGACUGCAUUGGAAACUGUCGAACUAGAGUGUCGGAGAGGCAAGUGGAAUUCCUAGUGUAGCGGUGAAAUGCGUAGAUAUUAGGAGGAACACCAGUGGCGAAGGCGGCUUGCUGGACGAUGACUGACGUUGAGGCUCGAAAGCGUGGGGAGCAAACAGGAUUAGAUACCCUGGUAGUCCACGCCGUAAACGAUGACUACUAGGUGUCGGGUAGCAGAGCUAUUCGGUGCCGCAGCCAACGCAAUAAGUAGUCCACCUGGGGAGU